rnacentral:rRNA from 1 species
UACGUAGGGUGCAAGCGUUGUCCGGAAUCAUUGGGCGUAAAGAGCGUGUAGGCGGCCCGGUAAGUCCGCUGUAAAAGUCCAAGGCUCAACCUUUGAAUGUCAGUGGAUACUGCCGGGCUAGAGUCCGGAAGAGGCGAGUGGAACUCCUGGUGUAGCGGUGGAAUGCGCAGAUAUCAGGAAGAACACCAACGGCGAAGGCAGCUCGCUGGGACGGUACUGACGCUGAGACGCGAAAGCGUGGGGAGCGAACAGG